rnacentral:rRNA from 1 species
CCUACGGGAGGCAGCAGUGAGGAAUAUUGGUCAAUGGGCGAGAGCCUGAACCAGCCAAGUCGCGUGAAGGAUGAAGGAUCUAUGGUUUGUAAAAUUCUUUUAUAUGGGAAUAAAGUGAGGAACGGGUUCCUUUUUGUAUGUACCAUAUGAAUAAGCAUCGGCUAACUACGUGCCAGCAGCCGCGGUAAUACGGAGGAUGCGAGCGUUAUUCGGAUUUAUUGGGUUUAAAGGGUGCGUAUGUGGUUAAUUAAGUCAGCGGUGAAAGUUUGUGGCUCAACCAUAACAUUGCCGGUGAAACUGGUUGAUGUGAGUAUAUUUGAGGUAGGCGGAAUGCGUGGUGU